CCAACAGGGAUUGCCUUAGUAACGGCGAGUGAAGCGGCAAAAGCUCAAAUUUGAAAUCUGGCACCUUCGGUGUCCGAGUUGUAAUUUGAAGAAGGUAACUUUGGAGUUGGCUCUUGUCUAUGUUCCUUGGAACAGGACGUCACAGAGGGUGAGAAUCCCGUGCGAUGAGAUGCCCAAUUCUAUGUAAAGUGCUUUCGAAGAGUCGAGUUGUUUGGGAAUGCAGCUCUAAGUGGGUGGUAAAUUCCAUCUAAAGCUAAAUAUUGGCGAGAGACCGAUAGCGAACAAGUACAGUGAUGGAAAGAUGAAAAGAACUUUGAAAAGAGAGUGAAAAAGUACGUGAAAUUGUUGAAAGGGAAGGGCUUGAGAUCAGACUUGGUAUUUUGCGAUCCUUUCCUUCUUGGUUGGGUUCCUCGCAGCUUACUGGGCCAGCAUCGGUUUGGAUGGUAGGAUAAUGACUAAGGAAUGUGGCUCUACUUCGGUGGAGUGUUAUAGCCUUGGUUGAUACUGCCUGUCUAGACCGAGGACUGCG
rnacentral:rRNA from 1 species